CUUUGCUCCUGUCCUUGUCCCAGGAGCCAUGGCGAACACGCUGGGCACCCAAUGUUUCAGGAGUGCAGUUUAUGGUUCACACCACACGGCAUUAUAAGGAGAAGCAUACCAGUCAAGAUGAUGACAAGAGUGAGUGCUGCAGGUGACGGUGCUGAUGGUGUUGUUAAUGAUGGUCUGGUGUUGACUGUAUUGGUGGCGAUGGUACUGGUGACUGUGGUGUUGUUGGUGAUGACAGUACUGGCAGUGAGGCUGAUAAAGACGGAAGGAAUCCCGAGGCCCAUGUUCUGGGUACUCCCCAAGGUAGAGAAGAACCCGUCUCCAGGGGCUGAGAGCAUUAAGAGCAUUCUGACCCCAUACGUGGGAGUUGACAAAGUCUGAGGAAACCCUGGACAGAGCCCUAGGUCACCCAAACUCUGUCCCUUGAAUUGAUCUGACAGCCCAGAUCACUGCCACCCCUGUGGCCAGGCUGUUGGACCCAGGUCACCGCAACCUUGACUACUGCAUUUUGGACUGACUGUGCCCCAUCAUUCCACCCCUGAGUCAUAUGCUGCUGGGACCCAGGCCAUCCUGACUUCUGUGUCCUGGGUUUACUAGCCCCCAGGUCACCCUGACCCCUGUAUCCUGGGCUAUUGGGCCCCAGAUCACCCUGACUCCCAGUUCACCGUGAUACUGCGACCUGGGCUGAUGGGGUCCAGAUCACUCUCACACCUGUGCCCUGGCCCCUGCAUCCUGGGCUGAUGGGGUCCAGGUCACACAAGCCCUGCAUCUUCGCUGAUGGGGCUCGGGUCACUCUCACCCG
rnacentral:lncRNA from 1 species